UUGUAAUAUGUAUAUAAAUUGAAUCUUUUAUUUAAUUCAAAGAACUCUCUGGACAAUCCAAUCGUCAGAAUCAAUACAACAAUAACACAAUCCACAUACUAAUAAUGUGAGAUAUAUUAUAGCGAGGCUGAAGGCCAAUGGCUCCCAUCUGGGGCCCUGCAAAAGGUAUAGGGAGGAUUAUUGCAGAUUCUCAGACUUCUGGUUCAAGAUUGCUGGUGUUAUCAAAGUGUGGGCUAACUCUGCCAGGCGACCAGAGGCCAAAGCACUGACAUCCCAAUCUACCAAUCAAUUUCCCCUAUACAGCUCCACUUCAGCAUUUAGCUUUUAACGUCAAAUACUACAUUUUUGUUGGCUCCGGCCUGUCUAGGACUCUUGAGAUUUACUCUGAGAGUGAUUACUCUGUAGAAAAAAGGCAACAUCCACAUUACAGAGUAAUUAAAAAGAUUUCCUUAGCUGGCAAAGCACUGAGACUACUAAAAGUCUUCUGCUUAAGGGUGAGCUUUUAAUUUGUACUCACAGCAGGGUUUUUCAUGCAAUCAGAAGGUUAGCAGCAUUAUAUCAUAUUUAGGAGAGGGCAAAAAAGCUCUGCUCCAGAGACCCUACAUGUUGCUUAUUUUACAACUACAGAGCAGAGUAAUUAGUGGCUUAGUAUGGUGAGAAAAAGAUCUUAAAAUAAAAAUAUAGCUUUUUUCCCCCUUCUUCUUGUGUUAGGUCUGUUAAGGUUCAAUAAUAAUAUACACAGUGAAAUAAAUCUCUAUCUAUC